UGGGGAAUCUUGCGCAAUGGGCGAAAGCCUGACGCAGCCAUGCCGCGUGAAUGAUGAAGGUCUUAGGAUUGUAAAAUUCUUUCACCGGGGACGAUAAUGACGGUACCCGGAGAAGAAGCCCCGGCUAACUUCGUGCCAGCAGCCGCGGUAAUACGAAGGGGGCUAGCGUUGCUCGGAAUUACUGGGCGUAAAGGGAGCGUAGGCGGACAUUUAAGUCAGGGGUGAAAUCCCGGGGCUCAACCUCGGAAUUGCCUUUGAUACUGGGUGUCUUGAGUAUGAGAGAGGUGUGUGGAACUCCGAGUGUAGAGGUGAAAUUCGUAGAUAUUCGGAAGAACCCCAGUGGCGAAGGCGACACACUGGCUCAUUACUGACGCUGAGGCUCGAAAGCGUGGGGAGCAAACAGG
rnacentral:rRNA from 1 species